GGCCGGUUAGCUCAAUUGGUUGAGCAUGAUGCUAAAAACACCAAGGUCGCGGGUUCGAUUCCUGUUUGGUCCC
rnacentral:tRNA from 1 species